UUCUGCCUCAGCCUCCUGAGUAGCUAGGACUACAGGCUCCCAUGGUUCUAGGCCAUCAGAUGGGAAGUACAAUGAGGCCUGUUACUUCCAAGGAUGAUGAGAAAGCUGAGGAAACCAGUAACACAGAAACCCACUGGUCCACAGAAGGAGGUUUUCACUUACAGAGAAUCUUUACACACUGUUCACCAGCUGAUUUGAAAAUACCCACAGAAAGUUAAUUUAUACUUCAAAGAUCUCUGAAAGGCAACUCAUGCUAGGUCACCUUUGAGCUUCCCAUUGGCUGCUAAAGUUCUCUUGAUGCAUCAAUUAUAUAUGCUUCAUGACUAAACAUCACUUACAACGUUAUUCAUUAAUGUUUGCAGAACCAAAUCGAAUAGAAAAUGCCUAGAGGUGAUAUGUCUGUGACCUGCACAUUAUAACGUGCAGUUGUGAACAGACUACCUCUCUGGGAAUCUUCACGUGAAGAGGCAAUCAAAUUAACUUAUUACUCCACUGCUAAAAUAAUGCUAAGAAAGAGGUGAGAAUAAUUCUCUUUGGUGGUUUUUCCUCUAAUGAUCA
rnacentral:antisense_RNA from 1 species